UAGGGAAUCUUCCACAAUGGACGCAAGUCUGAUGGAGCAACGCCGCGUGAGUGAAGAAGGCUUUCGGGUCGUAAAACUCUGAUUAUUGAAGAAGAACGUGUGUGACAGUAACUGGUCAUGCAGUGACGGUAUUCAAUCAGAAAGUCACGGCUAACUACGUGCCAGCAGCCGGCGGUAAUACGUAGGUGGCAAGCGUUGUCCGGAUUUAUUGGGCGUAAAGCGAGUGCAGGCGGUCUUUUAAGUCUGAUGUGAAAGCCUUCGGCUUAACCGAAGAAGGGCAUCGGAAACUGGGAGACUUGAGUGCAGAAGAGGAGAGUGGAACUCCAUGUGUAGCGGUGAAAUGCGUAGAUAUAUGGAAGAACACCAGUGGCGAAGACGGCUCUCUGGUCUGUAACUGACGCUGAGGCUCGAAAGCGUGGGUAGCAAACAGGAUUAGAUACCCUGGUAGUC
rnacentral:rRNA from 1 species